rnacentral:rRNA from 1 species
UUUUAUUGAGAGUUUGAUCCUGGCUCAGGAUGAACGCUGGCGGCGUGCUUAACACAUGCAAGUC